rnacentral:rRNA from 1 species
UCCAGACUCCUACGGGAGGCAGCAGUGAGGAAUAUUGGUCAAUGGGCGCGAGCCUGAACCAGCCAAGUCGCGUGAGGGAAGACGGUCCUAUGGAUUGUAAACCUCUUUUGUCGGGGAGCAAAAGACGCCACGUGUGGCGUUCCGAGAGUACCCGAAGAAAAAGCAUCGGCUAACUCCGUGCCAGCAGCCGCGGUAAUACGUAGGGGGCAAGCGUUAUCCGGAUUUACUGGGUGUAAAGGGGGCGCAGACGGCGAUGCAAGCCAGGAGUGAAAGCCCGGGGCCCAACCCCGGGACUGCUCUUGGAACUGCGUGGCUGGAGUGCAGGAGGGGCAGGCGGAAUUCCUGGUGUAGCGGUGAAAUGCGUAGAUAUCAGGAGGAACACCGGUGGCGAAGGCGGCCUGCUGGACUGCAACUGACGUUGAGGCCCGAAAGCGUGGGGAGCAAACAGGAUUAGAUACCCCUGUACU